rnacentral:rRNA from 1 species
UGACGUAUGUGUGAAUCAUCGAAUCUUUGAACGCAAUUUGCACCUCGUCGCCUCGGUGACAAGGUAUACUUGUUUGAGUAUCACAAACAACCUCACCCUCCCUUUGGGGCAGAGUGGACAUGAGGGUUCUGCCUUUUGGGCAGUCUCUUUAAAUACAGGUUUUGAAAGUCUCUGCAUGAGAUGAUUAUUGGGAUAACAUCCUAACAAUAGUCAUUGCUUUGACUUGGCCCCUUUUACUGGGAACAGAAUCACAUGAUCCGCGUGGUGCAAGCCUCGUCGACCAAUUUUUAAAUGUUGAUCUCAAAUCAAGUAGGGAUACCCGCUGAACUUAAGCAUAUCAAUAAGCGGAGG